rnacentral:rRNA from 1 species
AGUGAACGCUGGCGGCGUGCCUAAUACAUGCAAGUCGAACGCGAAAGUCCUUCGGGAUGAGUAAAGUGGCGCACGGGUGAGUAAUGCAUGAGAACAUGCCCUUAGAUGGGGAAUAACGUUUGGAAACGAACGCUAAUACCGCAUAACCUCGAGAGAGUAAAGGUGGCGCCGCAAGGGCUACCGUCUAAGGAUUGGCUCAUGUCCCAUUAGCUAGUUGGCGGGGUAAUGGCCCACCAAGGCAACGAUGGGUAUGUGGUCUGAGAGGAUGAUCACACACACUGGAACUGAGACACGGUCCAGACUCCUACGGGAGGCAGCAGUAGGGAAUAUUGCACAAUGGGGGAAACCCUGAUGCAGCAACGCCGCGUGAGUGAAGAAGGCCCUUGGGUCGUAAAGCUCUUUAGCGAGGGAAGAGGGUAGAUACGGUGAAUAAUCGUGUUUGCUGACGGUACCUCGAGAAUAAGCACCGGCUAAUUUCGUGCCAGCAGCCGCCGUAA